GGCUAGGGCUGAGGGGGCCAGGCCGCAGCUUCGAGGCCCCGCACUACCGCGGUCUCGGGUCUGGAGUGGGAGUCGCAGGUGCAGGAGAGGGAGGGGCAAGGGGCGCCUUUCUACUGCACUUUUUUUUGCAUUCAGGAGAUUGCCUAGCUGCAAUCUAGAGAGGUUUGCAUGAGCUUCGAGUCUGCCUGACAAGUGAGGAAAUGAGGCCAAGAAGCGGAAAAGGUUGCCAUCUGCUGGGCCACGCCACCUGCUAAGGGAAGGCUGGGGACCAAGGCCUCGGGGGUCUGCGUUCCCAGGCCCGCCCGGUGGGCGUGGGGAGCAAGGGCCCUGCUCCGUUCCCUCGAGACUGCAGAAAGCUCUCUGAGGGGAGGAGCUCAGGACGCAGAGGAGGAGCCAAGUCCGCCCCAGGAGCGGGGACCCGAUCCUCGGGGAUAAAACGCAGAGCCCGGGAGGAACCCCGUCAGCCAGGCGGGCAGAAAGCUCCGGGAGCGGCCUCAUGGAAGACAAGCAGAUCCUGUGCGUGGGGCUAGUGGUGCUGGACAUCAUCAAUGUUGUGGACAAGUACCCGGAGGAGGACACGGACAGCAGGUGCUUGUCCCAGAGAUGGCAGCGUGGAGGCAACGCAUCUAAUUCCUGCACCGUCCUCUCCCUGCUUGGAGCCCCCUGUGCCUUCAUGGGCUCGCUGGCCCCGGGCCAUGUUGCCGACCCCCUCUGCUUGCAGCCAGAGUCCCUGCCGCCUCCCUCCAGUCCCCAAACCCUGUCGAACUACACCUCCCCUGGGUUACUCCGUCUCGGCAGUUUUGUCCUGGAUGACCUCCGCCGCUAUUCUGUGGACCUACGCUACACAGUCUUUCAGACCACGGGCUCUGUCCCCAUCUCCACAGUCAUCAUCAACGAGGCCAGUGGUAGCCGCACCAUCCUCCAUGCCUACAGGAACCUGCCAGAUGUGUCUGCUGCGGACUUUGACAAGGUUGAUCUGACCCGGUUCAAGUGGAUCCACAUCGAGGGCCGGAAUGCAUCGGAACAGGUGCAGAUGCUGCAGCGGAUAGAACAGCACAAUGCCAGGCAGCCUCCAGGUCAAAAGAUCCGAGUGUCCGUGGAAGUGGAGAAGCCCCGAGAGGAGCUGUUCCAGCUGUUUGGCUAUGGAGACGUGGUGAAGAAACGACCCAGAGGGCGUAGUUGCAUUAGGAAAACAAAACAAAAACGCCCGCGAGAGCCAGAGGUGUAACGUGGCAGUGGUAGCUCUCACCGCCAGAUGGCGCUCAAGGCUCGCUGUGGGUUUUCAAUUGCAGGGACAUUCGUUGCUCUAGAACAAAUAAACCGGGGAUUUUUGCGUCACAAUUUACAGGGCUGUAUUCUAGCAUAUCUAGAGCAAGUAUGAAAACGCAUCCCAGUGGGACAGCGAGAUACUACGUUGUGGAUUUAGGUGGCCACGUUGGAGGAGUGACAUUGCACUAUGGGGGCAACGCCAGGCUGCUGGUGAUAUGCGCGUCUGAAGCCCUGAGCUGCCGUGGAAGAAGUCUGGCGUCCCUGAAGCUACCACGCCGAAAAGACUGGAGAAACCACAGACAGCGAGAUGUCUGAGGAGCCUCGGCUGUUCUGGCCUUCAGCCGCUCACAUCUCCCCAGCCCAAGGACCAUCCAGGAGAAAGAGCAAACCUUCAGGUGAUUCCGACCCCCAGCUUUCCAGGUGCCCCAGCCCACACUGAAUAUGGAGCAGAAACAUGCUUGUCUCCAUACCCCUGCCCAGACGGCACGCUCGUGAGCAAAGUCAAAGUUAUUGUUUUCAGCCACAAAGUUUCGAGGCGGUUUGUUAAAGUUGUCUGAGUAAUCUGAACUGCGUGUGACCUGGGCAGUCACACAGGGGCCCAGCUCUCGGAGGGGCCCUGUGCUUAGUGUAAUACUCUGCUGUCCCUGUUUUGAAAUUCUUUUUCUUUAAUAUAUUUUUUAAUGUUUA